UCUCUUAAGGUAGCCAAAUGCCUCGUCAUUUAAUUCGUGACGCGCAUGAAUGGAUUAAUGAGAUUCCCACUGUCCCUACCCACUAUCUAGCGAAACCACAGCCAAGGGAACGGGCUUGGCACAAUUAGCGGGGAAAGAAGACCCUGUUGAGCUUGACUCUAGUCUGUUAUUGUAUUGUGAUUCUGAAGGAGUAGCAUAGGCGGGAGAAGUAAUUCAACCCUGAAAUACCGCCACUUUCGACAUUGCAGCACUCACGUUAUAAGGUACGGAAAGCCUACCAGAGACCUGUUCGGGUACUGGGCAAUGGCUUGGCUUUGGUUCACUCCGAGGUUAGGUCACCGGUACUUGGGCGCUUAAGGACUAUGGUUUAAGGGCUACGUUCUCUGGAAAAAGCUGAAGCAGGCAGUGUGGGGGAAAUGUAUCCAUGCUGUAGAUUCGAUUGAGUCUGAGGUGCAUCCAUAGCUGGGGUGACCUGAACGGGGCAACUCGGGAGGGAAGGCUUGGCGAAGGCUCUGUUCUCACAUUUACGUGGAGUAAAUACUAGCUCAGCACGUAGUAAGAUGCUUUUGGGGGUAACCCUGGGAGCGUUCUAUUCAUGCGGCGGGCGGCAUUUUUGGUUUUUGGGUGCCCCUUAAAAGGUACUCAGGAGCUGGGGGUGUUGUUCGCGACUUGCAAUUUUCCAAUAAUAGCUUCGUAAGAUAAAUUGUGACGGAAAUUAACAGUUUGGGAGUUUGGCUGGGGCGGCACAUCUGUUAUAAAGUAACGCAGGUGUCCUAAGGUGAGCUCAGGGGCGACAGAAACGUCCCGUAGAGCAUAAAGGCAAAAGCUCACUUAAAGUGCACUUUCAGUAAUAGCGCACAUCCAGAAAUGGAGGCCUAACGAUCCUUCGCAAAGGGCGAUAGCCCCCGCGUGAGGUGUCAGAAAAGUUACCACAGGGAUAACUGGCUUGUGGCCGCCAAGCGUUC
rnacentral:rRNA from 1 species